GGUCCCAUGCACUUUGUAAGUCUUUGAUUGAUCGGGCGACGAAAUCCCCCUCCUAAGGGGAAGGUCGCCCGUUCGAAUCGGGCCGGGGUCACCA
rnacentral:tRNA from 1 species